ACCUGGAGGAGGACGACGUGGAGGCCGGCUCCUUCCAGCUGCUCCCUACCUCAAUGCCCGCCAAGGCCAAGGAGCGCCCCGGCGUGUUCCUCUCUGUUAACAACCUCCCCCAGACCCCGUCUACCUUCACCAUCACCACCUGCCACAUCCUCCACCCCACCACCGAGAUCACCACGGUGACACCCAGCCUGUAUAACACAGUCGUGCCUUCUUGUGGGCCCUUUG
ensembl:lncRNA